AGGACGAACGCUGGCGGCGUGCUUAACACAUGCAAGUGGAGCGACGAACCAGGGCUUGCCCUGGGGCAGAGCCGCGAACGGGUGAGUAACACGUGGGUAACCCACCCCGAUGACCGGGACAACCCGAGGAAACUCGGGCUAAUACCGGAUGUUCUCACUUCCUCUGAGGGAAGUGAGCAAAGAUAGCUUCGGCCUUCGCAUCGGGACGGGCCCGCGGCCCAUUAGCUUGUUGGUGAGGUAACGGCUUACCAAGGCGACGAUGGGUAGCUGGUCUGAGAGGACGAUCAGCCACACUGGGACUGAGACACGGCCCAGACUCCUACGGGAGGCAGCAGUGGGGAAUCUUGCGCAAUGCGCGAAAGCGUGACGCAGCAACGCCGCGUGGGGAGAAGGCCUCGGUGUAAACCCUUCAGUUGGACGAGCUUCGAGGUUAAUAGCCUCUGGAGUGACGGUACCUUCAGAAGAAGCCCGGCUACUACGUGCCAGCAGCCGCGGU
rnacentral:rRNA from 1 species